GAUGAACGCUGGCGGCGUGCCUAAUACAUGCAAGUCGAGCGAAGCGGGGACGGGGGAGUAACACGUGGGUAACCUCCUAUAAGACUGGGGUAACUUAGGGAAACCGGAACUAAACCGGCUACUUAUACCUGGUUCCGCGCUGCAUUAGCUAGUUGGUAAGGUAACGGCUUACCAAGGCAACGAUGCAUAGCAGACCUGAGAGGGUGACCGGCCACACUGGAACUGAGACACGGUCCAGACUCCUACGGGAGGCAGCAGUAGGGAAUCUUGCGCAAUGGGCGAAAGCCUGACGGAGCAACGCCGCGUGAGUGAUGAAGGUCUUCGGAUCGUAAAACUCUGUCAUUAGGGAAGCGGUACCCAAUCAGAAAGCACCGGCUAACUACGUGCCAGCAGCCGCGGUAAUAC
rnacentral:rRNA from 1 species